rnacentral:lncRNA from 1 species
GAAGAAACACUUGAGUCCCAGGGGUUCUGCCUCAUCCACAGGCUGACGCCUCUCAAAUGUUUAUCUCCAGGCUAGACCGCUCUCCUGAAUUUCUGACCUGCACAGCUGACUCUCCCCCCAGUCCUCCACAUGGAGAUUUCAGAAAGCAUCACCAGGCUAUGGCUUUUGAGGUUCUACUCACAAUGGAGCCGCCCACGUCCAGUCUUCUUCCGGUUCCAGGGGCCGAACUCAAGUCACCCAUCAACUAUGACAGCGAACUUUGUUGCCCGCUGCGCCACCUCACGGGCCUGCUUCACUUACUCUUAAGGGCAGGGUGUUCUGGUUAAAUUUUUGUGAAACACAAAACUCAUUGGACACAAACCUAGACACAUUUGGGGAGGGACGGUCUCAGGCAAGGGUGACCCAUGGGACAUGUUUGUGGGCAUUUUCAUAUAUAUAUAUAUAUAUUAAGAUUUAUU